UUACGCUGUUAUCCCUAAGGUAAUUUAUUUUAAAAUACUAAAUUUUAGGAUUAAUGAUUCAUUAAUUUAUGUAAAUUUUAUUAAAAAGUUUAUUAAAUUUAAAAAUUACCCCAAUUAAAUAUUAAUAAUAAUUUAUAAAAAAAUUAUUUUAAUUUUAAUUAUUAUUAUUAUAAAAUUCUAAAGGGUCUUCUCGUCUUUUAAAAAUAUUUAAGAAUUUUAACUUAAAAUUUAAUUUAAAUAUUUUUUAUUUAUAAAGAUUUUUACUCAUUUAAUCUUUCAUUCUAGUUUUUAAUUAAAAAACUAAUUAUUAUGCUACCUUAGUACAGUUAUGGAUACUGCAGCCAUUUAAAUUUUCAGUGGGCAGAUUAGACUUAAAAUUAUUAUCAAUAAGACAUGUUUUUGUUAAACAGGCG
rnacentral:rRNA from 1 species